rnacentral:rRNA from 1 species
AGUGAACGCUGGCGGGAGGCCUAACACAUGCAAGUCGAACGGCAGCACAGGAGAGCUUGCUCUCUGGGUGGCGAGUGGCGGACGGGUGAGGAAUACAUCGGAAUCUACUCUGUCGUGGGGGAUAACGUAGGGAAACUUACGCUAAUACCGCAUACGACCUACGGGUGAAAGCAGGGGACCUUCGGGCCUUGCGCGAUUGAAUGAGCCGAUGUCGGAUUAGCUAGUUGGCGGGGUAAAGGCUCACCAAGGCGACGAUCCGUAGCUGGUCUGAGAGGAUGUUCAGCGACACUGGAACGGAGACACGGUCCAGACUCCUACGGGAGGCAGCAGUGGGGAAUAUUGGACAAUGGGCGCAAGCCUGAUCCAGCCAUACCGCGUGGGUGAAGAAGGCCUUCGGGUUGUAAAGCCCUUUUGUUGGGAAAGAAAUCCAGCUGGCUAAUACCCGGUUGGGAUGACGGUACCCAAAGAAUAAGCACCGGCUAACUUCGUGCCAGCCGCCGCCGCAG